rnacentral:lncRNA from 10 species
AAGUGGGAGGUGAGGUGGGUCCUCCCCUUUUGAGCCACACGGAUGUAGACUGAGAGUGGUCUCAUUCCCACUAGAACAGAAAGUACUGUUACUAGCUGUGAGACUGAAAAACAAAAGGGGGCAGGGAUUUAAAAACACUAUAGCCAUGGGAUUGACAGAACUUUACACCCACUGGCCCAUUAGAGGGCUGACAGAAGAAAAGAAGUCUAAGGUGGCUUUGAACUUUAUAGAUUGGCCAAGUGGAUGAGGGUGAAGCCAUAUACUGAGAAAUUUGCAGAGAAAAGAAAGUAAAGGCUAACAGCUUAAGAAUUCUGAUUCGACGUCCUUUGAGGAUACUUCCAACUUAACAUUUUGUAGUACUAGGGAUAAAUUAUUGGAGCCUCGAAGAACAAAGGGGAGUGGAAUAGCAUUUGAGUAGGUGACCAUUAAAAUUCAAGUGGCACAAAUGAGGUUGAGAUAUUCAAGGCACCACUAGCAUCCAGAGAAAUUUAUUGUAGUUGAAUUUGAAUAUUUACUUUUUUAUUUUUAUUUAUUUAUUUGAGACAGAGUCUCGCCCUGUCACCCAGGCGGGAGUGCAGUGGCACAAUCUCGGUUCACUGUAACCUCUGCCUCCUGGGUUCAACAAUUCCUGUGCCUCAGCCUACCGAGUAGCUGGGACUGCAGAUGCACACCAUCACCCCAAGCUAAUUUUUGUAUUUUUAGUAGAAACGGGGUUUCACCAUGUUGGCCAGGCUGGUCUUGAACUCCUGACCUCAAGUGAUCCUCCUGCUUCAGCCUCCCAAAGUGCUGGGACUACAGGCAUGAGCCACCACACCCAGCCGAAUUUGAAUAUUUAUGAUAUAUAUCUUCCAUUUAAGUGGUCACUGAACCUAAGAAUCGUGAUUCAAAACUGAAAGGAACCACAGGUCAUUAGUAUAGAACUGAUUUUUUAAAAUUAUUUUUAUUUUUAUGUUUUUCUUUUUUUUUCUUGAGUUGGGAUCUCUCUAGGUUGCCCACCCGGUCUUGAACUCCUGGGCUCAUGUGAUCCUCCCAUCUCAGCCUCUUGAGUAGCUGAGAUUACAGGUGCAUGCCACCAUGCCCAGCUCCAUUAGUAUAAGAUCGUGUGAAAAGAACAUGAGAGCUGUAUCUUGUUCAUUAAAUAAGGGGAGCCAGGGCCUUCACACGUCCCUGAGAAACUGGGCCAUGAGUGUCCAAGGCUAACAUAACUGGGAGACCUGCUCUUAGGCAACAUUUAAUCAAAUAUGGUGUUCACAUGCACAGGAGGGAGAGAAGUAAAAGCAGCAUUCUGCUUUGCUUUACUUUCAUCUUAUUCUAAAAAUGAUUUAAUAUAAGAAUACACCAAUAUGAAUGGAAAAGAGCUUGGUGGAAGGCCUAAUAUCAAGUGUAUUAAAAAUGUAUGACACACUGUAUAUUCUCAUAGGCACCCUAUUCGGGACCUCUACAGCUGAUAAAAUGACAUAAAAAUGUGAUUAAUAAUAUUGUAAAACCUGUUGAUUGGAAAAACUCAGGGACAUAUGACAGAUUGACCCGACUCUGAUUUAAGCCAAUAUCACUCAAAUAACCUUUCAGAUCCUGAGAAAGAAUAAUGUCUUGCUUGCAGGACAGAAUGCAACAUAAGAAAAUGCAGUUGUCUUCCGAGGUUUGCUUUCAUACAUUAAAUGCCCUCAGAACAUUUUAUAUCUGAAUCUUUAUGUCUAGAUUCCAAGCAUCUAGCCUGGAGCUGCUACUAUUUCAUUAAUCCUUCUAAAUCUGUCUUAUAAUUUUUGAUGCAAAAUAAAACAAUAGAAGAAAGGAAAUAAGCCAAGAUGCUAAUAGUGAAAAUUUUUAGGUGAUGAGUUUUAGUGAUUUUCAUUCAUUUUUCUUAAUGUUAUGGCAUUUUCCAAGUUUUCUAUAAAGAUAUGUGAUUUGGGAUAAAAGAAAAGCAAAGUCUACACAAAAAAAUUAAGAAGUUAAUUUUAAAAAGCAUCUUAAAAAUAAAAAUGUAAGUGUUUCUAUUAGCUCUAGAUUAAAAGGCCACUAAGAUUUAAGUGAAUCUAAUAAGCAACCAAUGCACCAGAAUGACUUGCAUAACCACCAUUGUCACUGUACAUUCCCAAGGCAUGUCAAGCUUCUAUUCUUUAUUUUGGUUCUUAUGCAUCUUAAAGGGGACUGUUCAUCUGCACAUCUCAACUACCCACCCUCUUUUGAUUAGAUGACUCUACCUUUAGAGUGAGCACCUUUUCUUUUUGCCUCCAAGUGUCUUUUCUUCUGUUACCCAUAUCCCAAAAUCCCUUUAAGAACCUGCCCUACAUCCCUUUAAGAACCAGAAAAUGAGCUUAUAAUAGAGUAAUUGUAAACACUAGGCUCUAAGAGUAGGCAUGUGACUCACUCCUGGCCAGUCAGAAGAUCAUAUUCCUUGGCUACAGGAAUUGGUUCAGGAAUAGGCAGGUGAUUAGUCUUAAUUAGCGAGAUACAGUAAGAUGAAAUAAAAAGCUCAUGCUCUUUUCUGCUGGACUUUAACCUGGGUAAGCGCAUGUCAAGAGCUUUUUGUUGUUGUUUUGCUGGCAUAUAAAACUGAAGAAUGAAACUGGCCUGGAGAAAGACUGUGCCCUCUUUAUGUUGUUUGAGCCCCUGGGUCAAGCCCGUCCUGAAGCUUUUCCUACUGUUGUAGGAGCCAAUAAAUUAUUUUUGUGCCUAUGUCAGUAUAAGUUUUUACCCCUUACAAUUGAAAUAGUUUCAACUGAUAGAACCUUUUCUCUAUUUAAUACCCUACUCAGGGUCAUUGUUACCAGAGGAUUUAUUUAAUUGUACUUGUGUCAGAGGCAUUUGAACAAGAGCAACUCCGUCUUGAAUAGGGGUUGGGAAAAUGAGGCUGAGACCUACUGGGCUACAUUCCCAGGAGGUUAGGUAUUCUUAGUCACAGGAUGAGACAGGAGGUUGGCACAAGAUCAUAAAGACCUUGCUGAUAAAAACAAGUUGCAGUAGUGAAGCUGGCCAAAUCCCACCAAAACCAAGAUGGCCACAAGAGUGACCUUUGGUCAUCCUCACUGCUCAUUAGCAUGCUAAAAGACACUCCCAUCAACACCAUGACAUUUUACAGAUGCCAUGGCAAUGUCCAGAAGUUACCCUACAUGGUCUAAAGAGAGGGGGAACUCUCAGCUCUGGGAAUUGCCCAUCCCUUUCCCAGAAAACUCGUGAAUAAUUCACCCCUUGUUUAGCAUAUAACCAAGAAAUAACUAUAAGUAUCCUUAGGAGGCCAGCAGCUCAAGCCACAGGUCUGCCUAUGGAGUAGCGAUUCUUCAUUCCUUUACUUCCUUAGCAAACUUGCUUUCACUUUAUAGACUCACCUCAAAUUCUUUCUUGUGCGAGAUCCAAGAACCCUCUCUUGAGGUCUGGAUUGGGACCCCUUUCCGGUAACACUUGGAAAAGAUCAACAGAGUUGUAUGGGCAGACUCUUGGAACUACUCCUUUUAAUUCAUAAUCUUUAGAGAUUUAUGUAACACUUUGCCUUUUAGAGCUUGAGGACCAAAUUUUGCACAAUGGACACAUAAGCACAACUAUUAAUGCUUAUAUUACAAAUAAAUUAAUUGUAAAGUUAACUAACAUAUACAAACAUUAAUACACACUAACACAUUUUUCAAAAUGCUUUGGAAAGUCCUAAGCAAUGUCUUAACAACAGUUCUUAAGUUUUGAGCAAUAUACUAAAACCUCAAACAAAGAUUCUCAAUCUUAAGUUCUCCUUCUACAGCAAUUGAAGGUUGAGGAAUUUUUGUAUGAAGAUACAAAAAUUUUAUCUAGUUUAAGCUCAGUUACUCCUUACUUAAGAGCACCCAGAUAUAAACAAGGACUACAGGAGAACUUCUAUCAUGGUUCACAGGAAAUGACAAUAAACCCACACACUAAUUCUGAGGUGACUCUGUGGUAGACAGAGAAGGUUUGAGGAAGAAGAGAAUGUAUGAGUUUUUUUUCUCCUUCCUCCAGAGGAGAGGGAUUCAGUGACACAUGGGAGAAAACUUGAAGGUGAAUGAAGUCAGAAAACAGCAAUGAAUGACCUUCUCCAUCAUUGCCAGAGAUGAUUAUUUCGGGCAGUGGGCAGUGGCCUGCCCUACAGUGCCAAUGUGCUUUACUUCCAUCUGUUAUAAAAUUGUCCUAAUAUAAUAAUUUUAUUUGAACAGGGUACUUUUUGUAACUUUCAGACAAAGGCAUGGAUAAAUAUACCAAUGGACUGUGUCUGCAAUAUGAACAUACCUCUUAGAUGUGAUACUCUUAUUCAGUGCACAUUCUACAUAACUCUACGUAGCAACCCUGUAGGCAAAGAUUAUGGUAAAAAUACCCACAUAGUGGACACCAGUCCACUUUGAAACAGUUCAAAUCUUUUCUGACCCAUCUCUCAUAUUUCUGCCACAGAGAAAUGCUUUCACCAAUAUUGGACAUGUUAGAUGUGCUCAUCCUCUCUUCCUCUGAUAACAAGUCACAAAAAUGACAAUGCCAGCUGGAGAAAGGAACCAACCAUAUUUUAAUACCUGUCAUAUGCUGGUAAAUAUACAUAUAUUCCCUCGGUUUCAAAA